GGGCCCAUAGCUCAGUUGGUUAGAGCAUCCGACUCAUAAUCGGCAGGUCGAAGACGGUCGGCCGCUGCCGUUCAAGUCCUUCUGGGCCCACCA
rnacentral:tRNA from 1 species